rnacentral:rRNA from 1 species
AGAGUUUGAUCCUGGCUCAGAUUGAACGCUGGCGGCAUGCCUUACACAUGCAAGUCGAACGGCAGCACGGGUGCUUGCACCUGGUGGCGAGUGGCGAACGGGUGAGUAAUAUAUCGGAACGUACCCUAGAGUGGGGGAUAACGCAGCGAAAGUUGCGCUAAUACCGCAUACGAUCUACGGAUGAAAGUGGGGGAUCGCAAGACCCCAUGCUCAUGGAGCGGCCGAUAUCUGAUUAGCUAGUUGGUGGGGUAAAAGCCUACCAAGGCAUCGAUCAGUAGCUGGUCUGAGAGGACGACCAGCCACACUGGAACUGAGACACGGUCCAGACUCCUACGGGAGGCAGCAGUGGGGAAUUUUGGACAAUGGGCGCAAGCCUGAUCCAGCAAUGCCGCGUGAGUGAAGAAGGCCUUCGGGUUGUAAAGCUCUUUUGUCAGGGAAGA